rnacentral:rRNA from 1 species
UCCAGACUCCUACGGGAGGCAGCAGUGGGGGAUAUUGCACAAUGGGGGAAACCCUGAUGCAGCGACGCCGCGUGGGUGAAGAAGCGCCUCGGCGCGUAAAGCCCUGUCAGCAGGGAAGAAAAUGACGGUACCUGAAGAAGAAGCCCCGGCUAACUACGUGCCAGCAGCCGCGGUAAUACGUAGGGGGCAAGCGUUAUCCGGAUUUACUGGGUGUAAAGGGGGCGCAGGCGGCGAUGCAAGCCAGGAGUGAAAGCCCGGGGCCCAACCCCGGGACUGCUCUUGGAACUGCGUGGCUGGAGUACAGGAGGGGCAGGCGGAAUUCCUGGUGUAGCGGUGAAAUGCGUAGAUAUCAGGAGGAACACCGGUGGCGAAGGCGGCCUGCUGGACUGCAACUGACGUUGAGGCCCGAAAGCGUGGGGAGCAAACAGGAUUAGAUACCCUAGUA